AGCGUUGCUCGGAAUCACUGGGGGUAAAGGGUGCGUAGGCGGGUCUUUAAGUCAGGGGUGAAAUCCUGGAGCUCAACUCCAGAACUGCCUUUGGUACUGAGGAUCUUGAGUUCGGGAGAGGUGAGUGGAACUGCGAGUGUAGAGGUGAAAUUCGUAGAUAUUCGCAAGAACACCAGUGGCGAAGGCGGCUCACUGGCCCGAUACUGACGCUGAGGCACGAAAGCGUGGGGAGCAAACAGG
rnacentral:rRNA from 1 species